rnacentral:rRNA from 1 species
GGGAAUCUACCUUUUGCUACGGGAUAGCUCCGGGAAACUGGAAUUAAUACCGUAUGUGCCCUUCGGGGGAAAGAUUUAUCGGCAAAGGAUGAGCCCGCGUUGGAUUAGCUAGUUGGUGGGGUAAAGGCCUACCAAGGCGACGAUCCAUAGCUGGUCUGAGAGGAUGAUCAGCCACAUUGGGACUGAGACACGGCCCAAACUCCUACGGGAGGCAGCAGUGGGGAAUAUUGGACAAUGGGCGCAAGCCUGAUCCAGCCAUGCCGCGUGAGUGAUGAAGGCCCUAGGGUUGUAAAGCUCUUUCAACGGUGAAGAUAAUGACGGUAACCGUAGAAGAAGCCCCGGCUAACUUCGUGCCAGCAGCCGCGGUAAUACGAAGGGGGCUAGCGUUGUUCGGAAUUACUGGGCGUAAAGCGCACGUAGGCGGAUAUUUAAGUCAGGGGUGAAAUCCCGGGGCUCAACCUCGGAACUGCCUUUGAUACUGGGUAUCUUGAGUAUGGAAGAGGUAAGUGGAAUUGCGAGU